UAGCGCGGUGGUCCCACCUGACCCCAUGCCGAACUCAGAAGUGAAACGCCGUAGCGCCGAUGGUAGUGUGGUGUCUCCCCAUGCGAGAGUAGGGAACUGCCAGGU
rnacentral:rRNA from 1 species